rnacentral:tRNA from 1 species
AUUUAAAUAGUAUAAAAAGUACAUUUAACUUCCAAUUAAAAAGUCUAAUUUUUUUUCAGUUUAAAUA